rnacentral:rRNA from 1 species
AUAAACGACUCUCGGCAACGGAUAUCUUGGCUCACGCAUCGAUGAAGAACGUAGCAAAAUGCGAUACUUGGUGUGAAUUGCAGAAUCCCGUGAACCAUCGAGUUUUUGAACGCAAGUUGCGCCCGAAGCCUUUUGGCUGAGGGCACGUCUGCCUGGGCGUCACAC